UACGGAGGAUCCGAGCGUUAUCCGGAUUUAUUGGGUUUAAAGGGUGCGUAGGCGGCCUAUUAAGUCAGGGGUGAAAGACGGUAGCUUAACUAUCGCAGUGCCUUUGAUACUGAUAGGCUUGAAUGUACUUGAGGUAGGCGGAAUGUGACAAGUAGCGGUGAAAUGCAUAGAUAUGUCACAGAACACCAAUUGCGAAGGCAGCUUACUAAAGUAUGAUUGACGCUGAGGCAUGAAAGCGUGGGGAUCAAACAGG
rnacentral:rRNA from 1 species